ACGAAGGGGGCUAGCGUUGUUCGGAUUUACUGGGCGUAAAGCGCACGUAGGCGGAUUGUUAAGUUGGGGGUGAAAUCCUGGAGCUCAACUCCAGAACUGCCUUCAAUACUGGCAAUCUCGAGUCCGGAAGAGGUAAGUGGAACUCCUAGUGUAGAGGUGGAAUUCGUAGAUAUUAGGAAGAACACCAGUGGCGAAGGCGGCUUACUGGUCCGGUACUGACGCUGAGGUGCGAAAGCGUGGGGAGCAAACAG
rnacentral:rRNA from 1 species